rnacentral:misc_RNA from 1 species
AAUCGCUGUGUUGUAGUCGUAUAAUACGACUGACUGGGCGUUCGUUAUAUAAUAGUAAGCAAAGGUAAUAAAUGCUUCCAAAGGCGCUAAAGAGUUUUGUAUUAAAAUCCUUAUGAAUAUUGCAGAUGCUACGACCGCAUUUAGUAACCAGAAUGAUCCGACGAUGGUUAUAUGACGAAGCAAGCUGCGAUACUCGAUUUUCAUUCCCAAUUUCUUCAAACGUUCGUCCACUUUGUCGAUCUGUUUUAUCAAGGCCGAUACGUUCUGAAUAAUAAACGAGUAAAAACGAAAGACAUGCGUGGAGGAGUCCUAUCGUUUUGUUAGCCUAAAAAUCGAUCGAGU